rnacentral:rRNA from 1 species
CCCCUAGAUGUUCUGGGCCGCACGCGCGCUACACUGAACAGUUCAACAAGUCUUAACCUUGGCCGAUAGGUCUGGGUAAUCUUUGAACGCUGUUCGUGAUUGGGAUAGACCUUUGCAAUUAUGGGUCUUCAACGAGGAAUUCCUAGUAAACGCAAGUCAUCAGCUUGCAUUGAUUACGUCCCUGCCCUUUGCACACACCGCCCGUCGCACCUACCGAUUGAAUGGUCCGGUGAAAUCUCGGGACGGCGGCUUGGUCGCUUGCGUCCGACUGCUGAAACUUGAUUAAACCAUAUCAUUUAGAGGAAGGUGAANUCGUAACA